CCUACGGGGGCAGCAGUGGGGAAUAUUGGACAAUGGGGGCAACCCUGAUCCAGCCAUGCCGCGUGUGUGAAGCAGGCCCUCGGGUUGUAAAGCACUUUCAGUGAGGAAGAACGCCUGGUGGUUAAUACCCAUCAGGAAAGACAUCACUCACAGAAGAAGCACCGGCUAACUCCGUGCCAGCAGCCGCGGUAAUACGGAGGGUGCGAGCGUUAAUCGGAAUUACUGGGCGUAAAGCGCGCGUAGGUGGCUUGAUAAGCCGGUUGUGAAAGCCCCGGGCUCAACCUGGGAACGGCAUCCGGAACUGUCAAGCUAGAGUGCAGGAGAGGAAGGUAGAAUUCCCGGUGUAGCGGUGAAAUGCGUAGAGAUCGGGAGGAAUACCAGUGGCGAAGGCGGCCUUCUGGACUGACACUGACACUGAGGUGCGAAAGCGUGGGUAGCAAACAGGAUUAGAUACCCCAGUAGUC
rnacentral:rRNA from 1 species